rnacentral:rRNA from 1 species
AUUGAACGCUGGCGGCAUGCCUUACACAUGCAAGUCGAACGGUAACAGGUUAAGCUGACGAGUGGCGAACGGGUGAGUAAUGUAUCGGAACGUGCCCAGUCGUGGGGGAUAACUGCUCGAAAGAGCAGCUAAUACCGCAUACGACCUGAGGGUGAAAGCGGGGGAUCGCAAGACCUCGCGCGAUUGGAGCGGCCGAUAUCAGAUUAGGUAGUUGGUGGGGUAAAGGCCUACCAAGCCUACGAUCUGUAGCUGGUCUGAGAGGACGACCAGCCACACUGGGACUGAGACACGGCCCAGACUCCUACGGGAGGCAGCAGUGGGGAAUUUUGGACAAUGGACGCAAGUCUGAUCCAGCCAUGCCGCGUGCGGGAAGGAGGCCUUCGGGUUGUAAACCGCUUUUGUCAGGGAAGAAAAGGUUCUGGUUAAUACCUGGGACUCAUGACGGUACCUGAAGAAUAAGCACCGGCUAACUACGUGCCAGCCGCCGCCGUAA